rnacentral:lncRNA from 1 species
CUAUGAAUUGCGUGAUAUUUUAGUUUUUUAACUGUAAUUUUAUUGUAAAUCAUGAUUUGGGCUUUCUAAAUUACUGUAAUUAAGUGCUACAAUCUUAUUUAGUUGACUAAAUAACGAUACUUCGAAAAUGCGAACGUGAUGUGUGAUUGAUGAUGCGAUAAUAACUAAUGUCUCAUUACUUUCAUAUCAGCGACUCUUUAAUAUUUAGUUAAUUAUUAAGUUAGAUUAAUAAAUAAAAAUUCAAGAAGCAAAAUUUUGCGUGCAUUUAAGAACCAAAAAUAUGAUUUAGUAAAAAAAAAACCAAGAAAAAAAAAAAGCAAGAGAGCUGCAGUCUGAAUUCUGAAAUUUGUUUUCUAGUUUAAUUUCAUACAAGUUCCAGCAAACAUAACAGGAUAACAAGUGCAAAUAUAUUCCCACAAAAUUCAACUCUCAUAUGUUGUUCCUACAAAAGUCUCAAUAUUUUCAAACAUGUCUCUCUAGUUUGUUACCGUUAAAAUAAUAUUUAUUUUAUAAAUGAAAUAAUAUUUUUAGCAUCAUAAAUAUGUUCUUUUCAAUUCACCUCAUUAACUAACUAUAGUUAAAUAUUUUUUCUAUGGUUAAUUUUUUUAACAAAUUCUAAUGAUUGUAACAUAUUUAAAAAUAUUAAAUUUUUUAUAGAAAUAAUAUAUAAAAAUUAAAUUUUAUUGAAAUAUAUUGGGUUAAUUACAUACACGUUCCCGCAAACAUAGUGAAUUACAGAUAUAUUCCUGCAAAGCUCAACUUUCAUACGUUAUCCCUACAAAAGUCCUAAUAUAUUCAGAUAUGUUCCUUUGAUUAGGAUUUGUUAGAAAACUGUUUAUUUUUUAACGGUAGAUUUGUGAAGUGAAAAUUUUGCCCUUACAAAUAUGUCCCUCCAAAACAACCAUUUUCCUCUUUCUUUUUCUUUUCGGGCUGCCGGACGGUGGUGGCGACGAUGUCGCGGAGCUUGGGAAUGAGGGCGACCACGGAUGGUCCCGCGGAGCGGACGACCACGGAUGGUCUCGAUCGCACCCGCACGGCAGCGCCAGCCGCUAUUAGUCGUCCGAUCUCCCCAGGCUGAGUAUCGACCCUCAUGCCGACACAAUCAUAAUUAAAUAUUUUAACCGUGGUUAACUAAAUAUCUUUAACGGAUCCUAAAGAUAGGGACAUAUCUGAAUACAUUACGAUUUUUGCAGAAAUAACUUAUAAAAAUUAAGCUUUAUAAAAAUAUAUUUAUAAUUUAUCAUAUUUAUAUAAACGUAUAUGUAAUUAAUCCAAAUAUAUUU